GUGAAUCAUCGAAUUUUUGAACGCAAAUUGCGCUCCCUGGUAUUCCGGUGAGUAUGCCUGUUUGAGGGUCGUUAGAAGAAAAAUCGAAGCAUCGCUCUUCUCUUUCAGGGUGAUCGCGUCGGAAUUGAUCCGUCUUUCAAAUGUUAAUUCAUGUCAAAGUGGCUUAAAAUUCAUCCAUUCGGUACGAUUAAAGCGUAUUUAAGAUCAAUUUUGAUUAAGAACGCGCGAUGACGUACCAUCUCAUGUAGUACGUUUUACCUGGGUCAUCAGAUUCAUUCGUAUCC
rnacentral:misc_RNA from 1 species